rnacentral:tRNA from 1 species
CAAGAUAUAGCUUAAACAAAGCAUCUAGUUUACACCUAGAAGAUUUCACAAUCCGUGCAUAUCUUGA